rnacentral:rRNA from 1 species
UCCAGAGGGUCCAAUCGUUGAUCGGAAUCACUGGGCUUAAAGGGUGCGUAGGCGGCGCUGCAAGUGUCUUGUGAAAUCCCUCGGCUCAACCGGGGAAUUGCUCGGCAGACUGCAGCGCUUGAGCUCGACAGAGGUCGUCGGAACGAUAGGUGGAGCGGUGAAAUGCGUAGAUAUCUAUCGGAACGCCGAAGGUGAAGACAGGCGACUGGGUCGACGCUGACGCUGAGGCACGAAAGCGUGGGGAGCAAACAGG